GCGGUCAUGGCGGAAUUGGUAGACGCGCUAGCUUGAGGUGCUAGUUCUUUAACCGGAGUGGAGGUUCGAGUCCUCUUGACCGCACCA
rnacentral:tRNA from 1 species